rnacentral:snRNA from 1 species
AUACUUACCUGGCAGGGGAGAUACCAGGAUCACGAAGGUGGUUUUCCCAGGGCGAGGCUUAUCCAUUGCACUCCGGAUGUGCUGACCCCUGCGAUUUCCCCAAAUGUGGGAAACUCGACUGCAUAAUUUGUGGUAGUGGGGGACUGCGUUCGCGCUCUCCCCUG